GAUGAACGCUAGCGGGAGGCCUAACACAUGCAAGCCGAGCGGGAUUUGUUUGUUAGCUUGCUAACUAACAAUGAGAGCGGCGUACGGGUGCGUAGCACGUGUGCAACCUGCCUUUAUCUGGGGGAUAGCCUUUCGAACGGAAGCUUAAUACCCCAUAACAUAUUGAUUGGCAUCAGUUAAUAUUGAAAGCUCCGGCGGAUAGAGAUGGGCACGCGUAAGAUUAGCUAGUUGGUGAGGUAACGGCUCACCAAGGCUGCGAUCUUUAGGGGGCCUGAGAGGGUGAUCCCCCACACUGGUACUGAGGCACGGACCAGACUCCUACGGGAGGCAGCAGUGAGGAAUAUUGGACAAUGGGUGAGAGCCUGAUCCAGCCAUCCCGCGUGAAGGACUAAGGACCUAUGGUUUGUAAACUUCUUUUAUACAGGGAUAAACCUACUCUCGUGAGGGUAGCUGAAGGUACUGUAUGAAUAAGCACCGGCUAACUCCGUG
rnacentral:rRNA from 1 species